UACGAAGGACCCGAGCGUUAUCCGGAUUUAUUGGGUUUAAAGGGUGCGUAGGCGUCCCGGUAAGUUAUGGCUGAAAUCUCCCCGCUCAACGGGGGAAACUGGCCGUAAAACUGUCGGGAUUGAGUACACUUGAGGCGGGCGGAAUGUGUCAUGUAGCGGUGAAAUGCUUAGAUAUGACACAGAACACCAAUUGCGUAGGCAGCUCGCUAAAUUGUAACUGACGCUGAGGCACGAAAGCGUGGGGAUCAAACAGG
rnacentral:rRNA from 1 species